rnacentral:rRNA from 1 species
GUUAAUAUUCCUGUACUUCUGGUUAUUGCGAUGGAGGGACGGAGAAGGCUAGGCCAGCUUGGCGUUGGUUGUCCAAGUUUAAGGUGGUAGGCUGAAAUCUUAGGUAAAUCCGGGAUUUCAAGGCCGAGAGCUGAUGACGAGUUACCUUUUAGGUAACGAAGUGGUUGAUGCCAUGCUUCCAAGAAAAGCUUCUAAGCUUCAGGUAACCAGGAACCGUACCCCAAACCGACACAGGUGGUUGGGU